ACUGACGCUGGCGGCUGCCCUACCGUGUAUGUCGAACGGUAACAGGUCUUCGGAUGCUGACGAGUGGCGAACGGGGAGUAAUACAUCGGAACGUGCCCGAGAGUGGGGGAUAACGAAGCGAAAGCUUUGCUAAUACCGCAUACGAUCUCAGGAUGAAAGCAGGGGACCGCAAGGCCUUGCGCUCACGGAGCGGCCGAUGGCAGAUUAUGUAGUUGGUGGGAUAAAAGCUUACCAAGCCGACGAUCUGUAGCUGGUCUGAGAGGACGAACAGCCACACUGGGGCUGAGACACGGCCCAGACUCCUACGGGAGUGCAGCAGUGGGGAAUUUUGGACACUGGGCGCAAGCCUGAUCCAGCCAUGCCGCGUGCAGGAUGAAUGCCUUCGGGUUGUAAACUUGCUUUUGUACGGAACGAAAAGACUCUGGUUAAUACCUGUGGUCCAAUGACGGUACCGUAAGAAUAAGCACCGGAUAACUACGUGACAAGCAGCCAGCAGAAAAUACGUAGGGGUUGCGAGCAGUUAAUCUGGAAUUACUUGGGCGUAAAAGACGUGCGCCAAGCGAGUAAUGUAAGCAAAGAAUGUUAAAAUCCCCGGGGCUCAAACGUGGGAAACCUGAAUUUUGUGAACUGCAUAAGCUAGAGGACAGGCAGAAGGCGAUGGAAUUCCGAAUGUAACAUAAAAUGCGUAGAAA
rnacentral:rRNA from 1 species